UACGAAGGUGGCUAGCGUUGUUCGGUGUCACUGGGCUUAAAGCGCUCGUAGGCGGGACCGUAAGUGUCUUGUGAAAUCCCCCGGCUCAACCGGGGAAUGGCUGGGCAUACUGCGGUCCUUGAGGCAAACAGGGGUGCAUGGAACUCUUGGUGGAGCGGUGGAAUGCGUAGAUAUCAAGAGGAACGCCGAUGGUGAAGACAAUGCACUGGGUUUGUCCUGACGCUGAGGAGCGAAAGCGUGGGGAGCAAACAGG
rnacentral:rRNA from 1 species